GACGAACGCUGGCGGCGUGCCUAACACAUGCAAGUCGAGCGGAGAAGAAUGGUUUACUAUUCUUCUUAGCGGCGGACGGGUGAGCAACACGUGGGCAACCUGCCUCAUGGAGGGGGAUAACAUCAAGAAAUUGGUGCUAAUACCGCAUGAUUCGUUUUUAUCGCAUGGUAGAAACGACAAAGAUUUAUCGCCAUGAGAUGGGCCCGCGUCCCAUUAGCUAGUUGGUGAGGUAAAAGCUCACCAAGGCGACGAUGGGUAGCCGACCUGAGAGGGUGAUCGGCCACAUUGGAACUGAGAGACGGUCCAGACUCCUACGGGAGGCAGCAGUGGGGAAUAUUGCACAAUGGGGGAAACCCUGAUGCAGCAACGCCGCGUGAGCGAUGAAGGCCUUCGGGUUGUAAAGCUCUGUCUUCGCUGAAGAUAAUGACGGUAAGCGAGGAGGAAGCCACGGCUAACUACGUGCCAGCCGCCGCCGUAAGAC
rnacentral:rRNA from 1 species